CCACCAGGGCCUGUGCUUCCUGG
rnacentral:miRNA from 12 species